rnacentral:rRNA from 1 species
AUUGAACGCUGGCGGCAGGCUUAACACAUGCAAGUCGAGCGGGGGAAGGUAGCUUGCUACCGGACCUAGCGGCGGACGGGUGAGUAAUGCUUAGGAAUCUGCCUAUUAGUGGGGGACAACAUCUCGAAAGGGAUGCUAAUACCGCAUACGUCCUACGGGAGAAAGCAGGGGAUCUUCGGACCUUGCGCUAAUAGAUGAGCCUAAGUCGGAUUAGCUAGUUGGGGGGGUAAAGGCCUACCAAGGCGACGAUCUGUAGCGGGUCUGAGAGGAUGGGCCGCCACACGGGGACUGGGCCACGGCCCGGACUCGUGCGGGAGGAAGAAGUGGGGAAGAUUGGACAAUGGGGGGAACCCUGAUCCAGCCAUGCCGCGUGUGCGAAGAAGGCCUUAUGGUUGUAAAGCACUUUAAGCGAGGAGGAGGCUACUCUAGUUAAUACCUAGGGAUAGUGGACGUUACUCGCAGAAUAAGCACCGGCUAACUCUGUGCCAGCAGCCGCCGUAA